rnacentral:tRNA from 1 species
GGUCCGGUAGGCAAAUGGGAAGCCGGCGGUCUGCAAAACCGCUAUGAGUGGGUUCGAUUCCCGCCCGGACCU